rnacentral:rRNA from 1 species
AUUGAACGCUGGCGGGAGGCCUAACACAUGCAAGUCGAGCGAGCGGCGGACGGGUGAGUAAAGUAUGGGGAUCUGCCCGAAAGAGGGGGAUAACUACUGGGAAACGUGGCUAAUACCGCAUACUAACGGAUGAAACCAUAUGGGAUUAGCUUGUAGGUGGGGUAAAGGGUCACCUUGGGGACGAUCCCUAGCUGGUAUGAGAGGAUGAUCAGCCACACUGGAACUGAGACACGGCCCAGACUCCUACGGGAGGCAGCAGUGGGGAAUAUUGCACAAUGGGCGCAAGCCUGAUGCAGCCAUGCCGCGUGUAUGAAGAAGGCCUUAGGGUUGUAAAGUACUUUCAGCGUGGAGGCGUUACCCGCAGAAGAAGCACCGGCUAACUCCGUGCCAGCAGCCGCGGUAAUAC